GCCUCUAGCAGGGAGGGUGAGAGAGGUGCCUCUAGCAGGGAGGGAGAGAGAGGUGCCUCUAGCAGGGAGGGAGAGAGAGUUGCCUCUAGCAGGGAGGGAGAGAGAGGUGCCUCUAGCAGGGAGAGAGAGAGAGGUGCCUCUAGCAGGGAGGGAGAGAGAGGUGCCUCUAGCAGGGAGGGAGAGAGAGUUGCCUCUAGCAGGGAGGGAGAGAGAGGUGCCUCUAGCAGGGAGGGAGAGAGAGUUGCCUCUAGCAGGGAGGGAGAGAGAGUUGCCUCUAGCAGGGAGGGAGAGAGAGGUGCCUCUAGCAGGGAGGGAGAGAGAGUUGCCUCUAGCAGGGAGGGAGAGAGAGGUGCCUCUAGCAGGGAGGGAGAGAGAGGUGCCUCUAGCAGGGAGGGAGAGAGAGGUGCCUCUAGCAGGGAGGGAGAGAGAGGUGCCUCUAGCAGGGAGGGAGAGAGAGUUGCCUCUAGCAGGGAGGGAGAGAGAGGUGCCUCUAGCAGGGAGGGAGAGAGAGUUGCCUCUAGCAGGGAGGGAGAGAGAGUUGCCUCUAGCAGGGAGGGAGAGAGAGGUGCCUCUAGCAGGGAGGGAGAGAGAGAGAGUUGCCUCUAGCAGGGAGGGAGAGAGAGAGGUGCCUCUAGCAGGGAGGGAGAGAGAGAGAGUUGCCUCUAGCAGGGAGGGAGAGAGAGAGUUACCUCUAGCAGGGAGGGAGAGAGAGGUGCCUCUAGCAGGGAGGGAGAGAGAGAGGUGCCUCUAGCAGGGAGGGAGAGAGAGAGAGGUGCCUCUAGCAGGGAGGGAGAGAGAGGUGCCUCUAGCAGGGAGGGAGAGA